GCAUUAAUGAGGUAGUGGUAACCUGUGUUGUUGCCAUGCACCAACUGUGUAAAUUUUUCAACCUGCCGGGGGUUUGAUUCCCCCUUAAUGCA